UCGUCUCCCGCAUCCCAUGGCUCCCGAUCCCGUCUCUCUCACGGCUCCUGAGGAAAAAAAUGUCUCCUGCUCUCGCCUCCUCGUCCGCCCCGCGGUCGUGGUCCAGGCCGUCGGCGCUGGGAUCCAGUCCCAUGAAGAAAUUCUCUACUCCUCCCUCUUAUCUGUACCACUCUAGAUCGCGUCCAACCAUCGUCGAGCUUGGCGGCAGCGCAGAAGGAGAGCGCUGGUACGUCGGCGCUAGAGGACGUACUGGGCCUGGGGGUGGUUUGCAAGUGCAGCCAUACGACUCGGCCAUGGCGGAUGCGCUGGCCGCCGGGAACGCCAGUCCGCCACCGUACCAUUGGGGACGCCGUUAGGAAGGGGUGUUCUCAGUGCGACGGAAGGUCGGCGUCGAGUGGUGCGGCGAGUGCCAGGCUUCUAGAGGGCGCCGACGGUAUGACAGCGGGGUGCCGGAUGAUCACACGUGCUUAUGCUCCGGCGGACAGGCUAGCAGGGCUGGGAUCAUCACGGCGCCUGCACAAGGUGGUAUGAGUGCAGCACAGCCGAUGCAUCCUCUCCACCCGCCGCCGGUCUCUUUUUCAUCAUACAAGCAAGGAGACUCAUCGAUCAGAGAACUGGUGCAUGCGUGCCGCGUGCGGCAUGGCAUUGGAGAAUAGUGAAGCAAGCCCAUGGAUGAAGAAUCAUUGGCACCGGCCUAUGUGGCAGCAUUACCAGAUGCGUACGCAGUUCGUGCGAAGGGACCCCUCAUUGCUUCGACGCUGAUUCAGUGGGAAUCACCAGUUCACCGCCGCCACUGUUGAAGACGUGUAGAAAUAGCUUGUGUUUUUUCCUGUUCCCCUCAUUGGUGUUCUCGUCCCUUCCUCUCGACUCAUGCAGAUUCCGAACAUUGCGUUUUUUGUUUGUUUGUUCAUAUGCAGGUUCUCUCCUAGAUUUGGUGGUGCAGAAGUCAGCAGCGUUGGCGCGCUGCAGCCUGCAGGUCAUGGAUGUGAAGCAGGCCCUGAUUCUGAACUAUGGGAGGGUAAAUUAACAAUUACUCAUAGAGAUUGAUUUAUUUAGGACAUACAACCAUCUCUCUCAUGCCCUCUUUCUCUCACUUGUUUUUCCCAUUGGAUCAAGAGCAUGAGACGACGUCACAUUGUGGCUGUAAUGAAUACAAUUUUGACCAAAGGUUUUAUUGUUGUUUGGCAGAUGGGGACUUGAUCAUCUUUGUUGUAGCACAGAGACUUGUUCCAGAUAUUGAACAUGUCUUUUUAUCUAUUCUUUGUUUGUUCUGAAUUUGGACGCUUUCAUGCAGAUCAAGUUAUUACGGAGGACAGAAAAGAAGAGGUGCAUUGCAAUAUAUAUUUGACUAUUAAAUGUGUGGCACAAUCUGUUGACAAACACAUUUAGGUAUGUGUAGUAUGCUUCAGACCAGGCUCCAAAAUCAGGAUACAUGCCAGCUGCAAAGCAAAUAUAUUAAAGUUGCUCAGGUGGAUCUAUUUUGGUUCGAGCUGCUCAGGUGGAUCUAAUCAAGACAACUUAUUGACAGUCUUCCAUUUCGACUGCAGCAAUGUGCGGUGGCGCAUGUGGAGUAGGAGGUACCGAGGUAGAAGAGAAGAUGGAGAAGGUGGUUAUUCCGGCCUUACGUUUGAGUGUUGAAUGUGGAGUAUAUGAAAAUACUUGAGUUGAAGAGCAUCCAGUACCUGAGAUAAAUGAUCGAGGUGAUGCUUGACUUGAAUAAAAUGAGUUGUCAGAAUAUGA